CAAAGCGUAGCUUAAAUCAAAGCAAUUGGCUUACACCCAAAAGAUUUCAAAUUAUUUGA
rnacentral:tRNA from 1 species